rnacentral:rRNA from 1 species
CACUAUCGUUAACUGAAUACAUAGGUUAACGAGGCGAACCGGGGGAACUGAAACAUCUAAGUACCCCGAGGAAAAGAAAUCAACCGAGAUUCCCCCAGUAGCGGCGAGCGAACGGGGAGCAGCCCAGAGUCUGAAUCAGCUUGUGUGUUAGUGGAACGGUCUGGAAAGUCCGACGGUACAGGGUGAUAGUCCCGUACACCAAAAUGCACAGGCUGUGAACUCGAAGAGUAGGGCGGGACACGUGGUAUCCUGUCUGAAUAUGGGGGGACCAUCCUCCAAGGCUAAAUACUCCUGACUGACCGAUAGUGAACCAGUACCGUGAGGGAAAGGCGAAAAGAACCCCGGCGAGGGGAGUGAAAAAGAACCUGAAACCGUGUACGUACAAGCAGUGGGAGCACCUUCGGGUGUGACUGCGUACCUUUUGUAUAAUGGGUCAGCGACUUAUAUUCUGUAGCAAGGUUAACCGUAUAGGGGAGCCGCAGGGAAACCGAGUCUUAACUGGGCGUUAAGUUGCAGGGUAUAGACCCGAAACCCGGUGAUCUAGCCAUGGGCAGGUUGAAGGUUGGGUAACACUAACUGGAGGACCGAACCGACUAAUGUUGAAAAAUUAGCGGAUGACUUGUGGCUGGGGGUGAAAGGCCAAUCAAACCGGGAGAUAGCUGGUUCUCCCCGAAAGCUAUUUAGGUAGCGCCUCGUGAACUCAUCUUCGGGGGUAGAGCACUGUUUCGGCUAGGGGGUCAUCCCGACUUACCAACCCGAUGCAAACUACGAAUACCGAAGAAUGUUAUCACGGGAGACACACGGCGGGUGCUAACGUCCGUCGUGAAGAGGGAAACAACCCAGACCGCCAGCUAAGGUCCCAAAGUCAUGGUUAAGUGGGAAACGAUGUGGGAAGGCACAGACAGCCAGGAUGUUGGCUUAGAAGCAGCCAUCAUUUAAAGAAAGCGUAAUAGCUCACUGGUCGAGUCGGCCUGCGCGGAAGAUGUAACGGGGCUAAACCAUGCACCGAAGCUGCGGCAGCGACACUAUGUGUUGUUGGGUAGGGGAGCGUUCUGUAAGCCUGCGAAGGUGUGCUGUGAGGCAUGCUGGAGGUAUCAGAAGUGCGAAUGCUGACAUAAGUAACGAUAAAGCGGGUGAAAAGCCCGCUCGCCGGAAGACCAAGGGUUCCUGUCCAACGUUAAUCGGGGCAGGGUGAGUCGACCCCUAAGGCGAGGCCGAAAGGCGUAGUCGAUGGGAAACAGGUUAAUAUUCCUGUACUUGGUGUUACUGCGAAGGGGGGACGGAGAAGGCUAUGUUAGCCGGGCGACGGUUGUCCCGGUUUAAGCAUGUAGGCUGGUUAUCCAGGCAAAUCCGGAUAAUCAAGGCUGAGGUGUGAUGACGAGGCACUACGGUGCUGAAGUAACAAAUGCCCUGCUUCCAGGAAAAGCCUCUAAGCAUCAGGUAACAUUAAAUCGUACCCCAAACCGACACAGGUGGUCAGGUAGAGAAUACCAAGGCGCUUGAGAGAACUCGGGUGAAGGAACUAGGCAAAAUGGUGCCGUAACUUCGGGAGAAGGCACGCUGGUGUGUAGGUGAAGUCCCUGCGGAUGGAGCUGAGACCAGUCGAAGAUACCAGCUGGCUGCAACUGUUUAUUAAAAACACAGCACUGUGCAAACACGAAAGUGGACGUAUACGGUGUGACGCCUGCCCGGUGCCGGAAGGUUAAUUGAUGGGGUUAUCCGUAAGGAGAAGCUCUUGAUCGAAGCCCCGGUAAACGGCGGCCGUAACUAUAACGGUCCUAAGGUAGCGAAAUUCCUUGUCGGGUAAGUUCCGACCUGCACGAAUGGCGUAAUGAUGGCCAGGCUGUCUCCACCCGAGACUCAGUGAAAUUGAACUCGCUGUGAAGAUGCAGUGUACCCGCGGCAAGACGGAAAGACCCCGUGAACCUUUACUAUAGCUUGACACUGAACAUUGAGCCUUGAUGUGUAGGAUAGGUGGGAGGCUUUGAAGCGUGGACGCCAGUCUGCGUGGAGCCAACCUUGAAAUACCACCCUUUAAUGUUUGAUGUUCUAACGUUGGCCCCUUACCGGGGUUGCGGACAGUGUCUGGUGGGUAGUUUGACUGGGGCGGUCUCCUCCCAAAGCGUAACGGAGGAGCACGAAGGUUAGCUAAUCCUGGUCGGACAUCAGGAGGUUAGUGCAAUGGCAUAAGCUAGCUUGACUGCGAGCGUGACGGCGCGAGCAGGUGCGAAAGCAGGUCAUAGUGAUCCGGUGGUUCUGAAUGGAAGGGCCAUCGCUCAACGGAUAAAAGGUACUCCGGGGAUAACAGGCUGAUACCGCCCAAGAGUUCAUAUCGACGGCGGUGUUUGGCACCUCGAUGUCGGCUCAUCACAUCCUGGGGCUGAAGUAGGUCCCAAGGGUAUGGCUGUUCGCCAUUUAAAGUGGUACGCGAGCUGGGUUUAGAACGUCGUGAGACAGUUCGGUCCCUAUCUGCCGUGGGCGCUGGAGAAUUGAGGGGGGCUGCUCCUAGUACGAGAGGACCGGAGUGGACGCAUCACUGGUGUUCGGGUUGUCAUGCCAAUGGCACUGCCCGGUAGCUAAAUGCGGAAGAGAUAAGUGCUGAAAGCAUCUAAGCACGAAACUUGCCCCGAGAUGAGUUCUCCCUGAGACUUUAAGUCUCCUGAAGGAACGUUAAAGACGAUGACGUUGAUAGGCCGGGUGUGUAAGCGCAGCGAUGCGUUGAGCUAACCGGUACUAAUGAACCGUGAGGCUUAACCUU